CGGAGCUGCUGACAGGAGGAACUAACUGAGCAGGGGGAGACGUUAAAGCUCCGGAGGCAACAGGGACCGUGACUAGAGGCAACGCAGGCAAAGAAGACACUGGGAGAGGAGCUGCUGUGGAUACACCGGACAAGGUCCCGGCGGGGAGCGGCUGGGUAGACACACCGGACAAGGUCCCGGCGGGGAGCGGCUGGGUAGACACACCGGACAAGGUCCCGGCGGGGAGCGGCUGGGUAGACACACCGGACAAGGUCCCGAACGGGAGCGGCUGAGUAGACACACCAGACAAGGUCCCAGCGGGGAGAGGCUGAGUAGACACCCCGGACAAGGUCCCGGCGGGGAGCGGCUGAGUAGACACACCGGACAAGGUCCCGGCGGGAAGCGGCUGGGUAGACACACCGGACAAGGUCCCGGAGGUGAGCGACUGGGUAGACACACCGGACAAGG